UGGCGGACUACACAUGCAAGUCGAGCGGAUGAGUGGAGCUUGCUCCAUGAUUCAGCGGCGGACGGGUGAGUAAUGCCUAGGAAUCUGCCUGGUAGUGGGGGACAACGUUUCGAAAGGAACGCUAAUACCGCAUACGUCCUACGGGAGAAAGCAGGGGACCUUCGGGCCUUGCGCUAUCAGAUGAGCCUAGGUCGGAUUAGCUAGUAGGUGAGGUAAAGGCUCACCUAGGCGACGAUCCGUAACUGGUCUGAGAGGAUGAUCAGUCACACUGGAACUGAUACACGGUCCAGACUCCUACGGGAGGCAGCAUUGGGGAAUAUUGGACAAUUGGAGUAAGCCUGAUCCAGUGCUGCCGAGUGAGUGAAAGAGGUCUGCUGAUUGUAAGGCUUUUAAA
rnacentral:rRNA from 1 species